rnacentral:rRNA from 1 species
GAUGAACGCUGGCGGCGUGCCUAAUACAUGCAAGUCGAGCGAACAGAUAAGGAGCUUGCUCCUUUGACGUUAGCGGCGGACGGGUGAGUAACACGUGGGUAACCUACCUAUAAGACUGGGAUAACUCCGGGAAACCGGUGCUAAUGCCGGAUAACAUGUUGAACCGCAUGGUUCUACAGUGAAAGGCGGCUUUGCUGUCACUUAUAGAUGGACCCGCGCCGUAUUAGCUAGUUGGUGAGGUAACGGCUCACCAAGGCAACGAUACGUAGCCGACCUGAGAGGGUGAUCGGCCACACUGGAACUGAGACACGGUCCAGACUCCUACGGGAGGCAGCAGUAGGGAAUCUUCCGCAAUGGGCGAAAGCCUGACGGAGCAACGCCGCGUGAGUGAUGAAGGUCUUCGGAUCGUAAAACUCUGUUAUUAGGGAAGAACAAAUGCGUAAGUAACUGUGCGCGUCUUGACGGUACCUAAUCAGAAAGCCACGGCUAACUACGUG